GGAGGAUGCUCACUGUAAGGAAGAUUCCGUGACUACACAAUGGUUUUCCAAACACAGGAGUGGUAUGACAGAACAUAUUAAAAUUCUUACUUAUAGAAGUGUUGGAAGAAGUAAUGCUGCUGCCUUACUGAGCCUCUCGCGGCCUCAUUUCACAGAUAACGACCCUGAGGAUUAGGAAUAAAGUAAGACCACCUACUAAAGAAGCCCA
rnacentral:lncRNA from 1 species